UACGUAGGGUGCGAGCGUUACUCGGAAUUACUGGGCGUAAAGCGUGCGCAGGCGGUUUUGUAAGCCAGAUGUGAAAUCCCCGGGCUUAACCUGGGAAUGGCCUAUGUGACUGGCAGGCUAGAGGAUGGCAGAGGGAGGCGGAAUUCCACGUGUAGCAGUGAAAUGCGUAGAGAUGUGGAGGAACACCGAUGGCGAAGGCAGCCUCCUGGGCCAAUUCUGACGCUCAGGCACGAAAGCGUGGGGAUCAAACAGG
rnacentral:rRNA from 1 species